GAGCACGUAGGGGGUUUGUAAGUCAGAUGUGAAAGCCUUCUGUUCAACGGGAGAAUUGCAUCUGAAACUGCUAAUCUUGGGUAUAGGAGGGGAGAAUGGAACUUCUGGUGGAGCGGUGAAAUGCGUAGAUAUCAGAAGGAACGCCGGCGGCGAAAGCGAUUCUCUGGCCUAUUACUGACACUCAGUGUGCGAAAGCUAGGGGAGCAAACGGGAUAGAUACCCCGGAGCCUUGCAAU
rnacentral:rRNA from 1 species